AUUGAACGCUGGCGGCAGGCCUAAUACAUGCAAGUCGAACGAGUGGCGGACGGGUGAGUAAUGUCUGGGAAACUGCCCGACGGCGGGGGAUAACUACUGGAAACGGUAGCUAAACCCGCAUACCAUCGGAUGUGCCCAGGUGGGAUUAGCUAGUAGGUGGGGUAACGGCUCACCUAGGCGACGAUCCCUAGCUGGUCUGAGAGGAUGACAAGCCACAUUGGGACUGAGGUACGGACCAAACUCCUACGGGAGGCAGCAGUGGGGAAUAUUGCACAAUGGGGGAAACCCUGAUGCAGCAACGCCGCGUGCGGGAUGACGGCCUUCGGGUUGUAAACCGCUUUCAGCCAUGACGCGGUAGUGGCAGAAGAAGCACCGGCUAACUACGUGCCAGCAGCCGCGGUAAUAC
rnacentral:rRNA from 1 species